ACGGUGACAUCCCUUCGAAACACCGGUUCCCGUAUGAUCCCCGAAGUUAAGCAACGGUGAGUCUGGUCACUACCUAGAUGGGUGACCACUU